rnacentral:rRNA from 1 species
GACGUAGGGGCCGAGCGUUGUCCGGAUUCAUUGGGCGUAAAGCGCGCGCAGGCGGCUUCGCAAGUCGGGUGUGAAAACCAGAGGCUCAACCUCUGGCCUGCAUCCGAAACUGCGUGGCUAGAGGCAGGUAGGGGAGAUCGGAAUUCCUGGUGUAGCGGUGAAAUGCGCAGAUAUCAGGAGGAACACCGGUGGCGAAGGCGGAUCUCUGGGCCUGUCCUGACGCUCAGGCGCGAAAGCUAGGGGAGCAAACAGG